rnacentral:misc_RNA from 1 species
AUUCUCUUCUGCACUUCGUUGUUGACUGCUUCAAUUCCUGGAAUGGAAAGGGGGGGAGGAGGAACCUUCUUUUUUCUUUGCACGACUUUUUUCUGUUUGGUUGCGGCCAUUUGUGCCUCAUUUUAUUAUAUAUUAAACAAUCUUAGGUUUAUUCUUGUUGAAUGGGCAAUGGGUUGCAAAAGUGGCAUAUUAGGGGAAAAAUCAGAGUUAGAAAGUCGGCUAAGAAAUCAGAGUUAGAAAGUUAGCUAAGAAAGGGAAAGGGAAUAAAUAUUUGUGUGUUGGUGAUUGUUGCACUAAUUUUU